GCCUCCGUAGAUGAGCGGUUAAUCGCCUCGCACUAUCAUUCGCGAUACUUGGAGUGCGUGUUGUGAGGAGACGUGGGUUCGAGUCCUGCCGGCGGCG